CUGAAAGUGAAGUGUUGGUUACUCGCUUCAAGAGACCAGUUUGUGGAUUGUGGUUGGUGCCUCCCUUCUGAAAUGGCAUCUAUGGGCAUGAUAAAACAAACUGAAUGAUUUUAUUUACCUAGACAGUUUGUAUGUUUGAUUACUUAAACUAUUGCUCAAAUGCAAGCUAAGUAUUUUUUAUUAUUUUCUCUCCAUAUUGCUGUUCAUUUUCUAUUAACAUUUCUUUCUGUGUCAUAAAUUGUCCAGACAGCUUCCCUCUCAAGUCCAUACCCUUCUGUUUCUUCUGCAUGCUUCAUGGUUGAUACUCUGUUCAUUUGCCUGUUAUUUUACUGCAUUCGCAAUUUGUUGCAGGUAGCUCUGAAAGUGAAGUGUUGGUUACUCGCUUCAAGAGACCAGUUUGUGGAUUGUGGUUGGUGCCUCCCUUCUGAAAUGGCAUCUAUGGGCAUGAUAAAACAAACUGAAUGAUUUUAUUUACCUAGACAGUUUGUAUGUUUGAUUACUUAAACUAUUGCUCAAAUGCAAGCUAAGUAUUUUUUAUUAUUUUCUCUCCAUAUUGCUGUUUAUUUUCUAUUAACAUUUCUUUCUAUGUCAUAAAUGAAUGAUCAAUUUCUUGUGUUCCUUUCAGAAACUUAUCUCUCUAAUUUCUUUUUCAGAGUUGUCGCAUUGAAUUUCAUGACUGCCAAGGAUUUUCUUUGCCGCUUUGAGCGAAGCUGCAAGCCUGUUUUAGUGUAUCCUGCGCUCCAUGGAAAUAAAUCAUUCAAGCAUUAGUGCAAAGGACAUUAUGUUUGAAACCAGAAUAUGUUGAAUCCCCAUGCAAGAGCCUGCCCUGUGAAAUUUAC